rnacentral:lncRNA from 1 species
UACACAUAUUCUUACGGAAAAACACAUUAGGGGGUCUCAACUAGCUGGAAAAAAAUCAGAAAAUGGAAACCUAUCGGUGGUGGGAAUUGUUCGAUGAGGCAGCUCCGCUGGCUCACCUUUGCAGCUGAGAGUUUUUCUUCGGUCAACCUGUAGAAAAUAUAACGGUGAAUACAACAGUGAAAAAAUCACACGGAACGGGAAACAGGAAGGGGCUCAUUGGAGGUGGUUAUAAAUUUUGCCUAUUGUGGUUCCGCUGGGCUUUGCCCGCAGUUUUCUGCUCACCCGCCAUUUAUUUUACUUCGAUAUGGCCAUAGGGGUGUUGAGAAUCGAAUUCCUAGUGGGUAGGAGAAU